GCAAAUGCAGCGGCCCAAUCGGCAAGCAAGUAAGCCGACCAAACGACGAACAUCAUGAUCAUGUUGGCCGUUCUCUUCCGGGACGGUGCAAAGAAGAUAAGGAUGGUCUGAAGAGAGAGGCUCAUGAUGAUGAAGCCCCUGAGGUUCCAUGUAUUCCCAACCUUCCUGAUGCUCGCGGAAUGGGAUUGAAAGCAUGUUUCUUCUUCUGGUUGCUUGAAGUCGAACCUCUCUAGUUACAACCUCCCUCAAGCAAAUCAAGUUUCACUUGUCUUCGGAAGAAAAAUUGGGGGAACUCCAAGGGAGGACAAGAAAAGGUCAUUAGUCUGAGAAUCCAGGAACCAGACAUCUUUUUCCUGAGGUAUUGAUCAUAUUCUGUACUCUAUUUGGUGAAGACUUCGCAGGUCACCAGAAGCACACCCAGCGUUUCUUUCUUUUUCCACUGAACUUUAAAGCUAAGACAAUUCAUAAACGACGACUUACCUUUGCCUUUCCUAUGGCAGGUCUCCCGAAAGAUCUAUAAGAGAAAGAACAAAAUGGCCCAUCACUUUUGUCUCUAGGAUAAAAAUUAAUAAAGAAGUGUUCUGCCUUAUGAUUGGAUGAAAGCACAUGCGGGAAUAGGAACCCAUCUCAGAAUUGGCUAGAGCAGUCCAUAGAAUGAAAUGAAUAAACGACGACCCAACCAAAUUUUGUGUAAUGAAAAGUGCAAGUCUCCCAAUAUCUGUAGCAAAAUAAACAACCGACUGAAGAAUUUAUUUAUUUUUCUCUCCUCUGGUUGACCAAAACGACCUUGACUUGAGCUUGUUUUGACGUGGACAAAGACUAUCCAGGUUCGCAUCUCUAACUCCUCUCUAGCUAUCCCUGAUGGGAAUGGCGUAGAACCAGCAAGCUGAGCACAUUAAAUAGCUUACUUUUGCAGCCUUCGUGAACACAAUGCUGUGAUUUAUCAUUGAAUGGAAAAAUGGCAAGUUAAUAUUUGGAUUAACAUUCUGAAAAAUUCUAAGUUGGUACAUAUGUAACAAAUUUAUUUUAAAUUAAUUUUUUAAUCAUAAAAAACUCCAAAACUAGUACACAUGUAAUAAAUUUAUCCCGACUGAUCAUAAAAAAUCAUAAACUAGUAUACUUAUGACAAAUUUACCUCAAACUAAUUUAUUUAACUACCAAAAACCCCAUAUCUUUCGUCAAAUUAGAUUUAAUACCACAAACAAUCACAAAAAUUAUUUAACUGUAACAAACGGAGAAUAAAAUCUUAAACUAGUACAUUAGACAACUAUCAUAUAUUAUUCAACUUACUAAUUUGACAAUAAAAUUUAACAGAAUGUAACAUAAGAUAAAUUUAUCAUAAGUAUAUUAGUUUGAGAGGUACCAAUUUGGAGUUUUGAUUUGAAAUAAAUUUAUUAUAAAUAUAUUAAUUUGAAAUUUUUCAAGGUAUUAUCCCUUAAUCUUUCUUAUUAUAUUUGAGGUACGACAGAAACCCAUUAUCACAAAUAUCUAGGGAACGGGACAACGACGAGGGCCGACCCACCUAACAUUCUAUAUUCCAAGUCUUCGUCAACAGAAAGAAAAAAAAAAGAACAUUUUCUUUUAUCCAUCAUUGUACUCACGUUUACUGACACAAAAAGAAACAGAGGGGGUGGAAAUUUUCUUACCUUUACUAAAGGGAGCCAAUCAUAACUUCCUAUAUAGACAAAAAUUGGAUCCAAAAACAAGAAACCUACUUAACCAAGAUAACCAUCAAAUAGGAAAUCAACUCCAAUUAAGAAAAAUCAUGUAAAUUGUGAAAAUUUUCUUUUCAGCCUCAAACUCAUGACAUAUUUCAACACAAACAAUUCACACUAUUUGAGAUGAUUUCAUGUUCCGAUUUACCUUGCCUUUUGAAUUAGUAACAAUAUGGCUUAGUAUGUUUCGAAAAGAUGAAGUACACAACUACGCUUCAAAUUGAUUCCAGCAGGAAACCUCCUGUGUACAAACAUUGGUGUUGGUGUCUUCCAUGUUAAGGUACUGCAAGAUUCUCUCGAGACAAAUGAUGAGAACGCAGAGGAAAAACUCACUCUAGUCGUGUCAACAGCUAGACUUCAUAAGAAAUUGACCGCAUUCUUGGUUUCAUUUCAAUCAAUCAAAGUGACUUUGAAUCUCUUGAAUUAGUUAAAACUCUGAAUGGGUCAUGCAUGCUGACAAGAUCAGGCAUUCUGGAUAUAAAGCCAUCCGCUACCCUUUCUUGCACAAUUACUGAAUGAACCAAGCAUGAAAAAGAAAUCUCGUUCCAACAAGUCAACUCCAGUUUCUGGAAAUACAGAUUAUCCAAAAUCAAAAGACAAGUGUUUCUCGUGAUGCUAACGCAAACAGACGUUACAAUGAACAAUGAAGCUACACUAUUCCUGCAGAAUUCGCAAUUUCUGCAGAUCCCUCCUGAAGUUGUUUGUUCAUAAUCUGACCCAUGACUUUGGCAGCUAAUGGAAUGCCGGCACAUCUUCUGUAGACCUCUUCUUUCAGUUUUUCAUCAUGUGGGGGAUCAUUUCGACCGUGACCUUCCUUAGCUGAAUCUCGAAAUAUUGACCAGCAAACUUUAUCAUCUGAAAGUGGCAUGAUCCUAUGCAGAUUCUCCUCGCCAACCAUUCUCAUAGCCAAUUCCGCGAUCCUGGUCGUGACGAUGACUGUGCCUCCAUACCCUUUUGGGAAUCCAUAGGCAAGGCGGUCUUCCCAGUUAUCGCCAUGGACCAAGUGGGAACCCAAUUCAUGGUACCACUCCUCGUCCUCACGAGCAUUAUCCAGAACAAUAAGAUAUUUCUUCCCCCAAAGUUGCUGAUGAAGCAAAGCUACAAUUCCCCUCAGAUUACGAGCAGAAAAUACAGAAUCAAUGAUUUCCUCUUCAACACCUAGAUGUGUCAACAUUCUCUUAAUUAUUGCCACCUUUUGUUCCUCAUCAGGCUGCCUCGACAUGCUCACCCAAAUUCUAGGACAGUACUUUUGUUCUUCUUCCUCGUUGGAUUUCUUCAUUUUUUCUUCCUUGUUCAGUUUCUGCGUUGACUCUUCCUUGUUCGUCUUCUUUUGCUCUUCCUUCUUGUUCGAUUUCUUGAUCUCUUUCUCUGCUUCUUUGUCAAAGAACAGUUGGCAUAGUGUUGUUUUACCAAUCCCGCCCCUCCCAACUAUGGCAACUGCCUUGAAUUGCUCAGAACUUUUUUUCUGGACUAAAGAUUCCAGCAACUCAAUUUCGACCUCGAAUCCUUUGAACUUCUGCAGAUGUUGCGACCGACCCGAAACUUGAAGGAAGCUAUCUUUGCCAUUUGAUGAGCUUUCUUCGGUGUUACCCUGUGGAGUGUUGUUAUUUCCACCUGUGUUCGGGUCAGGAAUCCUCUGCAGAUCCUCCUUGAUCUUAUUCAGACUCCUCCUAAUCUGAAUGUUGGCAACGAUUUGCUUCUUGGAUAGUGACUGGCACUCUGUCAGGACAUUGUUGAGGGAGUAAAGAUUGUCCCUGAUAGAUUUUUCAUCCCGUGUGGACGACUUCAGCUUUUCCUCAAUCAGAGUCCUCAACUCCUCUAGCUGACCCGAGAAGGCUACUCUCGAUCGCUUUCCGUCUUUAGGCUGAAGCCCCUUCCUCAACUUCUCCAGUAAAAAAUCGUCAAUCUCCCGAGCCAUAUCAACUCCUUAAAAUGCUUCAAAAGAUUUUCUUUAUGAAGGAACUCGUUCUCAGCUCUUUGUAGGUAAAAUUUUGUCUGAUCAGUGACCACAGAACACAGAACCAGAAGGGUUCUGUUCUGUGUCCGUAAAUUUCUGCACAGAAGAGAGGCCGAAGCUCACCUAACAAGAAAGUUGAUGUUGCACACGGAAACCUUUUUCAACUUUUAAAUGUCCUUGACAGUGCGGGAGACGACAAACAUGAAUUUAAUAAGAGGCAUCCCCACAUGCCUAUGUGAAUUUAAUAAGAGACAUCACAAUCACAACUACAUGGAGAGCCUGUUCUAUAUUAUCUUCUGCUGGAUUGGACCAGGUGUAUACGAAUACGUAUAUGCCUAUGUGUGUAUGUAUGUAUGGAUGAUUCAUGCCUGAGACUGAUAGUAGCAUUUAGUGCAGAUUAUUAAGCUAUGCUAGUUGAGAAAUGCCCAUAACUGAAGGAUACCAUAUUCCAUGCUUGGUAUAUACUACUGCAACAUGAACUUAUUACUUUCCUUUUCUUUCUUUUUUUCAAAUAAUAAAAACUUAGAAAAUUCCCAUUUAGUUUUUAUUCCAGGUGAAAAUUCUGCCUCUAAUACUUUGAUUUCGCAAAUGUUUUCAAUUUCCAGAUAUUUUAAGUUUCCUGCUUUUCAAUCACUUUUGCAACCGCACAACCAGCUUUUUUCACGAAAAGUCCACAAAUUUGAUCACACUAUGAUCAAGUUCUGAUCGAGAAGUGAAAACCAGGAUAUGAUUAUUUGCCUUUCGGUCGCAGGACGACCAAGUUGUGUACUCCAACUGAUCCCCACAUUGGACAUUUUAUAAGCCGAAAUAACUCUUCUCCGAAUAUGAUCAAAAACGGAUCCAACCCCUCUUUUGUCGCCUCUACGACUCAUGUUCGUCAAGUGGAUUGAAAGGGAAAAUUAUCCAAUAUAUUUUAAACUAACUGUACAUAUGAUAAUUCAAUUUCGAACUUUCAAAUUUUGCUAAUUCAAUAAUAAAUUUACUCGAAAUCAUAACGUAAUCUUUUCAAUUAAUUUUCUUUGAAAAUCGUUGAAGUGACGGUGUCUCGUUAAGGUUAUCGGUAAUGAUUGAACCACCGACGGAUCCAUGGGAUUAUGACAAACUUGAUCCGAAGACAUCUUUGAUGAAGAUGCAGACCGUGGACCAUCCAGCAAUUAGUAAAGGAAUCUGCUUUCAGGAAUCAUGAGGCCACUAAUUGAAUAUUCGUCAGUGCGAUGCCAUUGCUAAUUGAAUUAUCGCCUGCUUUAAGUCUAGAGUCAGUCAACUUUUGCUUUUGUCCCUAUCUUCAAGGGUCUAAUAAGAUGCCAGCAAGGGGUAUUCUUUUUUUUUUCCUUCCAGCAAGGGGUAUUCUUAUUUCACGCGAGUAUCUCAACAAACUAAAGCUUGUCGCCACUCAUUUAUUCCAAGUCUAGGUCAAGGCAUGGAGUAAUUCCGAAAGCACGAGUGAUCCUGGACUGUAUUUUCUUUUCCUCUUUGCAUGGCGACGGUCGGUCUUGCGUCCAAAGUAAGGUGAUCAAACUGGCAUUGUGUUUUGCAUGGUCCGACACCAUAUCGGGCGCUUGGUAAGGUAAGAUCGUGCCUAGUAAUCGUUUAAUUUUCGAUUCAUUGACAUAUGCCAUGACUCAGGAAACCUCAUAUACGAUUCUGUAAUGGAGAUUCGUUGAAUCAAGUGACUAGGGACCCAUAGUAAUCCAAAGAAAGAAAACUUAAAAAACCUAGAGAACUUACUAUAAGAGUUUUCCUGAUCUUGAUUACAUUAAUUGAGAUUAUAAUUACCGUUUUACGAGAUUGGUCUAAUAAGGUAAGGCAUAAGGUUUUCUUAACAGUUGAAUAUGGGCCUAAUUUGUGUGGACCAAGUGGGGCCCGGCCCGUGAUGAGAGGGCCCGUCCAAAACUCUAUAAAUACCGCUAAGGUUCCUCUAGCUCUCAUUCUUCCAUGAACUUUCUCUUACCUCACAUAAGGCAAAUUGUGAGUGACAUUUCAUUAAGCCAAGAACCAAGGGUCAUAGAGGAUAAGUGUAAUAUCCAGAAAUUCGACCCCGUCUCGAUAAUAUGAAAUGUUUGUUUCGUUGACGCGCCUAUGGUCAUUUUACUCUAAGCCGGCCCCUCACGAGUUAAUUAAUCUAUCGGGUAAAGCCGUUAAGAGAUAUAAAUGCGGCAGACUAGAAAAUUCAAUCGGAAAUCGAUCAUUUGACCGUAAUAAUUGGCAAGGGUCAAUACGACACCGUUAUAAUCAAAUUGAGAUCAGAUAUAAGUCGAUUCGACGGAAACACGUAAUUGAGUUGUGUGUAAUUCCGCAUGAUUGCGAAGUUCGCUUCGAACGACAAUAACUCGAUUUUCUAUCGAUUUUAUACUCGAGAUACAUAAUUAAAACCUUGUGAUUUUUACAACAAUUGAGAGUUGUCUACAAGUCACGGAUGCACAAACAUGGAUCGAAAAUUAUCGACCAUGGAUCAAAUGCGCCAAAAUCCCUAAAAGCUACAAAAUAGGUUAGGUUGUACUAAAAUCGCGUUCGGUCGAUUUUAACCACGAAGUUGAAUUCGGUUUCAAGAAUCGGACAUUCGAGCGUGUCACAAUUCAUUUUUAGGACGUCAUCUCAUCUUUCAGAGAAAUUUCGUUGAAUUCGGAAUUUUGCAGAAAAAUCAAUUUCAGACAAAACGGAAAAGCAAUGGAAAUUACGAUGGGUUGCUUUAAUGCUUUAUUUGGCUGUCCAAAAGGCUUUGUUUGUGAGGAAAUGAAAGGAAAAUGGCCAUUGGAGGAGCCAUUGACUUCUUGGCAUGAAGACUUUGUGGCUUUAGUAAUGAGUGGCCUGAUAUUUUGCCAGGUCCCUCAUUGCACCUUCACCCACCGUCAAACCACGCCAGCAGCCCACUUCAAUCACGCCGUAGCCACAACCCCACCGGCGGCUUCAUCUCGCGUCCACCAAGCAGCAUCCCCUGUCUUAAGCUACUGUCUACCUCAGCUUCGUCCGUCCAGGCCACAUUGCCAUUCGUCCAACCCACCUUCAUUGCUCAGUUGCCAGCUCACCAUCUCCACAACUCUGCCUAGCUGCCAGCCGCCCAAUCCAGCCGUCCGUCAACUUCCCCGACCACCAGCAGCUGAGACCAGUGCAGCCCACAAAAACGAAUCUCAGCCUUUGGCUGAGACUUGUAGGGCUAAUUUUAGCUACCGGUUGAGCUCUGUUGGAGACACGGUAGUCUCAGGUCCUUACCACCGUCGCACCGCCGUCACCGUGAAACCGCUACCAUCCUAAUCUGGUGAGUUAACUCCAUAAUCCUUGAUUAGAUAGUUAAUUACGCUUAGGGGUUAGAUUAUUGUUAAUUAGGAUUAGUAGUUAAUCCUAGUUAGUGUAACUAAAUUAGUUAGGUCGGUUAGUUUAAUUAUGUUAGUUUGGUUAGGUAGAUAGUUUAGUUAGGCUAUGCUACCUUAGGUUAGAUUAGUUAACUUAGGUUAAAUUAGUUAACCAUGAUUAGGUUAAUUAAAUUGGAUUAAUUUAAUUAAUUGCAAUUUAUUUAAUUAAUUAUAAUUAGCGUAAUUUGUGACGGAUUAGCCGUUUAGUGAAAUUUUACACUCUUUCUUGUGGUUGAAUUUAUACGUGAAUUUGAUUGCUUAUAUGUGCAAUUGAAUGCUUGGUGGUAAUUAUUGAUUAUUAUUACUAAAUUUGAUUGUAUGGCAUUUAAAUAGAAAAAUACCGAGUGUCGAUUUUUUACGCCAAAAUUUUAUGUACUAUAUAAAAUCGUGAAAUUUUUAAAUGGGAGCGUACUAUGUGUAAUGGUUCGAUUUAAAUAUGUGGCCACGUACAAUUAUUUUAUUGGGAAUUUUUAAUAUGAAGAAAAGUGGCCGAGUUCAUUUGAAUACGAGGUAUUUGAAUGCAAAGCAUGAUAUUCUUGGCCAAGUAUGUGCAUGUAUGGUCACUAUCGGAACCCAUCACCUGAUGAGAGUCGGGGAGGCAAUGCCUAAUUAAGUUCCGAUACCCUACGUCAACGAAUGCUAGAUGCGGUAGGGGCCAGGUCGAUACUCCUUUAUGGAAUGUCAUAUGGGCGUGUAGUACUGGACGUUGCCAUGCCCGACGGAGCAGGACGAUGCCCAGUUACGCCGGAUGAUCGCCAACAAUUGAGUUGGCCGUGGCCAUUGGGUCAUAAUAAUUGGAACACGCCUGAAUGGUUGUGAUAGCUGUGUCUGAUUAUGGGGCUAAAUUGUGUGGCACAAUAUGAGGCGUGUCAUAACGGUUUUACCUUAUAAUCGAGACCAUUGUGAUUGAAAUGAUGAGUUCUAGUUAUUAACUUACGCUUGUUGCGUAGAUAUUGGCAUGUGUGAUGAGCUAACAAGCAAGGACGUGCCAAGGCGAGGUAAAUCCUGUAUGGUGCCUAUUUAGGACCGUCUUCGAUGCGAAUUUGCGUCCUAAUCGGGGUUUAGGGUUUUGACUCAUUGAGAUUUAUCUCACCUUGUCGUGGUUAACCCUUUUUCAAGUCCUUAGUAUGGAGAGAUGUCCCGUUCGUUUUGGGAUGCCAAAGGAGAUAGACUAUGAGUCCUCCUUUUUCCCUAUUCUUAGGACUACUGAGACCCGUGAGUUAGUUGUGACCACUAUUUGGGUUGAUGAGGGCCUUCGUCACAAAAUACCUCAUCGCUUCAAAGCGUGGUACAUUAAUUAGCGUAACAGGGCUCGAGAGGGUUCUUUGCAAGGUUUUGACAAACCUACCGUCGAAACCGAGAAUGGAGAGAUAGCUCACCCCAUGGACAUCGACAUCCCAAAUGGUGUCGUGGAGGACCUAGCAUCGGAGUCAAAGGGAUCCGGGGUGUAGGUCAGUUAGGACCUUUUUUUGAGAUUGACCUUUUGUAUAUAACUUUGUAGGGCUAACUUGGUAUGUUUAUAAAGUGUGGUUUGUGAAAAAGCGUUAACAUAUUUUACUAUCCCUGUGUUUGAUGGUUCAUCGGGUGUUUAUUUAAUUCGCUUCCGCGUAUGCUUAAUUGAAAGAUAAAAAGAAUGGGUCGGCAACGUGUUCUAAAACAUCGCAUUUUUAAUCAACCGUCGAGGGAAGUGCCCAUGCUUGGGGUUCGGGGCGUGACAAUAAGAACUUGAGUGUUGGCUCGUCAUCUGAGCAUCAAAUCGUUACCAUUCCGAAUAAAGAACGAUGUAUUCCAAAUCACGUACGCAAAUCUUCGUAUUCUUCUCCAAAAUAUUUGAGUGUCUAGCUAUGUUGAUCUUGGGAUGCUACUUCGAUGGCAAACAUUUGGUAUCAAAGCCUUAUAGCAUAGAACUCGAAUUGUUGCAUUUGGCCCGUUUUCGGAAAUUUUCUCCGUUGAAACUUGAUUUUGAAAACAUAUUUGGAUUCGUCUUGUUGAACUGAGUAUUUUGAUGGGUGGCACACCUCUGACAAAGGCCAAAUGCGUCGACGAUAAGCAUUUUAGAUUUGACCUUCCUUUGGGUUGUUUUGGCCGUUUUCAUGAUUUUUAGUCCAGUAAAAGUGAGAUUUGAUGACAUAUAUGAAUAUUACUCAUCGAAACGAAGAUUUUGGUGGGUUGUGCACUUCUAGAAGACGCUUGCCUCCACGUGCCGAGACAGAGCUGGGAGUCAGCGCCACACGCCGCCGUGCGAGCUCACACGUGCGCUCACGCGACCAAUGCGUGAUUGCCUAUGGUGGUGGGAGACAUCAUCAAUGACGUCACCCCGCCGACUCGCGGCAUCGCUAUUACCAAGAUGACGCCAUGCAUGACGUCACUCCGCGUCAAUGACGUCAUUCUCCAACAGGUCGACCCAACGUGGGUUGACCGAGUGACCUGACCUAGUUUGACCAGGUUGACCCGACCCGAGUUGACCAUUGACUAGUCGGAUCGAUUGAGUCAUGGACCGGUCAAACCGUUGACCGAUCAGAUCGGUCUACCCGGUUAGAUUGGCUUUCUAGGCCGGUUAAGAUGCCUGCACAUGUAUCUCACACACCACACAUUCCGACGACACGUGAGGGCGGGUGUGGCAUUCGUUUGGUGUGUGGUUGCACCGAUGUGCUCAUAUUAAAGUUUUCUACACCAUGAUAUAUUCAUUUUAUAUGUUUGAUAAUUUUAUGGAUGUGAAAAUGCAUGUGAAACCCUAAAGUAUGUAAUUUGUAGGGGUAUUUUUGCGUAUUUUUCAUGUAUUUCCCUAUAGUUUCGGAAAUUUUGAAUUCACAUGUAUGUCAUUACAUAAAGAUUAUUUAAAAUAUUGAUUCAUUAAUAACAUGUAUAAGGUUCAGCGUGUAUUAAUAAAUAGAGUAAUGGGAUUGGUAUGACAUGUGAUUUUAGUGACGAAUUGCUCCUAUCAUCUAGUCUAUUUCACAUGUAUAGGGUGAAUGUGAGUCAUAAAGUUUAUAUCCCUGAUAUGAGAGUUUUAAUGAUUCAAUUGGGUUGUGACUGUCAAAAUGACCCACUUGAUUGGAUUUGAGAAAUAUCGGUCUCAUAUUGUAAUAAGAUAUCCCUCCUAUUCUAAUGCGUGGUUAUAUUCCUAAAUGAGGUAAUUGUGUAUUGGUUCAUGAAGGGAUGCAUGGUUGAGGAGUGAUUGACCUAGUGAUUCAUACACCCAAAUGCGUUGAAUUUACAAAAUGUUAGAAUAUAUUCUCAUGACUGCUGUCAUGUGGAGAGUGUGCAAUUACAUGUCAUGUAUUUUACCUAAAUGUGUUUAUAUGAUGAUGUGUGUAACUCUUGGAAUGUGUACCUAUAAGAUUAAGUUGCACUAUACUCACAUGAUGUAAAUUGCUUGUUAUUAAAUUACAUUCUCUGUAAUGGCAACUUCGUUGCGAUUAAGGUUCCUAUUGGUCAAAUUUUAAGUAGUGAAUAGGAUUUUUCGUUUGAGAUGAUAAUGGUAGAUGUUCAUAUUACUCUUAUUGAGAAUAAGCUAGCAAUCUUACUAUUAGUGAUAUGAAACUAGAAAAUAUUUGUUGCUGCUUGAAAAAAUGGCAAUUAAAUUUGUUUGUUAUUUAUAAGGCGUUCCUUUAGGAACCCUUAAAAAUGGCUUAUCAGCUGACUGCACUGCUAAAAUGAUUAAGAAAUCCUAGGUGGCUUGAAUUGUGUCUUAUCUAAUGCCAAGAUUGGGAUAAAUGCAAAGGUUUUUCAACAUAAAGUGUGAUGGUUCUGAUGAGGUUAAGAAUUAUGUCCUAAAGAUGGUAGAUUUGAAGUUUAAAAUCAUACUCAUAAAGGAAUUUAUGAAACCAUCAGUCAUUCUAACAAUCUAGUCCCAAGAUAGCACAUUUUAAGAGAAAUUGUGUCAUUUACUACCCUUGUAGGAAGAAAUGACAUAUAAGGGAUAUUGUAAUGAAUAUAAAGCUUGGUUGUCCAAGUGUAAGUCUGGAGUUGAUGAUUCAUUGACAUUCAUUUAUGAAUCUAAUUCCUAUCAAAAGCCUCAUCCGGUUCUUGGUGGCUAGAUAACGAUACAAGAAAUUAUGUUGUUUACCAUAAAGGGAUUCAUAAAUCUAAGUAAGAUGAAUUAUAACUCAUCAUGGGAAACAAUGUUUAAUGUCGAUUUAGUGGGAGAUGUUAUUUUGACUAUGGAUUAUGGAUUCUGGUUUGCAUUUAAUGUUGAGAAACACUUUAUAUACUUUCCUUUAGAUGGAACUAAGUCUCCAUGUCAGGUCUGGAAGAGUGUGGCUACUCUUUUGACGUAUAGAACAAUGUUGUUUCUAUAUUUUCCAAGUCAAAUAAAGUCAGGUGCUGCAAUAUGUCAAAUAGAUUGUACCGAUUGUGUUAAUUUCCCAACAUUAUGUAUGUCGCUUAUGUAGUUUAAAAGAUUGUUUCCAAUAUAUAUUUACCUAAGGAACAGUCUUAUGCAUUAUAACAUAAACGUCUUGAUCAUAUGUCUAGAAAAAGAGUAAAAAGAUUGAUAAUGUUGAUAUUUUGCCUACUCUUAAAAGUCACCUAAGGACUUGUGUAGACUAUUGUAAAAGUAAGAUGGUUAAGAUAAGCAAGAAAACUACAAUUCGGUGUCUUGAUUUGUUGGAGGUCAUUCAUGCUGAUAUUGGUGACCAUAUAUGGUAAUGUUGUAUAGAAUUUUUCUUUUCAACAUAGUCAUUGGCGAAUAUUUCUUUAAAGAAAAAUAUGAAUCUUUGGAUAGAUUCAAGUUCUUUUUUACUAAAGUCAAGAAAUAGUUGGGAUAAGUCUUAAAGAUUGUCAGAUAUAAUUGUAGUGAUGAGUAUUUUGACAAGUAUGUCAAUGUUGGAUAACUUAAAGGGCUAUUUGUCAAAUACUUAAAAGAUUCUGGGAUGGUAACUUAGUUUACUAUGCCCAAAUUCUUAAGCAAAUUAGUAUGGCCGAAAGGCGUAAUUACACCAUAAUGGACAUGAUAGUGAGUAUGAAUACUAUGACUAAUUUAUCAGGCUUUUUGUGGGGCAAAAUAGCCCAAUAUGCAUUAAACUGAAUUUCUACCAAGGAUGUUACGUUUACUCAUUUUGAGUUGUGGCUAGACAUAAGCCUGAUUCAAAUCAUUUUAAGGUUUGGAGUAUUCUGUAGAAGUGAGGUUAUAUAAUCCAACAUUAAGUAAGUUGAACUGUAAAACCCUUCGGUAUUAUUUCGUAUCAUAUCUAGGUCAUUCGAAUGGAUAUUGGUUUUAUGAUCCUAAUGGAGUACAAGAAUCGUGAAAUCAUAGACAACAAAGUCUCUAGAGUUCGACAUAGUUGCAAAGGAUAGCCAAGCUUAAGUAUGAGGUGUUGGAUACAUUUAUAUUGUUUCGUCGGUGGUCUGAAACCAUCUACUCUUACAACCUUCUAUCUGUUUGUCUUGAAGACCGUCCGAGAAAAACCCAGAAGCAAAAGGGUUCUUGUGGCGCUAUUUUUGGAAAAAUCUUCGGCCUUUUGUUAUAUAUCCUCAAGGGAAUAUUGUUUUGUCUUGGUCUUCCUUUCUGGGCAAUCCUCAAGUUAACUUCUUUGUUCAUCAGAGCCAUCUCCCUCGGUUUGCAGAAGAUCUUUGAUUGCUUCUCAAAAGAAUUGGGGAUGAUGGAAGUUCUUUAUGGACUGAAAUUCAUGGCCAUUCUAUCCUAUGCUUUUGUCAAGCAUCCAAAUGAGGACCGCAAUCCCGAGGGUCGAUGCAGUAUGAUCAUUGGUAAACUCUGCAUCUUUCCUUUGUAUAUCCUCGGGUUGGAGAUAUCUUGCUUCAACUGCAUUGUUCGGGCGCUGGAUAAUUGGUUUUAUAUAGCACCUAUCGCCCAUUGGUUUUCCCGCACCUUGAUAUUGGCCUUUACCAAUGCUGCCCGAGGGGUCGGUCUUGAAGAAGUUCUCGAUUCGCUGGAAUAUGUGUCGAGGAACCCCUUUCCUCCGAAGUUGUGGGAGUUCAUAUUUUAUGAGCUCAAUUUAAGUCGGUGUUCGCAGAAGACACACAAAUGGCAAGGGAAAUAUACGAGGCUUAGGGAAAUUGGGUUCUCCGGUAUAGUGAGUGGGGUACCGAUUGCGAGGCGACAAAGAAAUAUGUUGAAAGUCCUGAGUACGAUCGGAGCAUUCUAUUAUGGCCCAUUGCUACUGAACUCUGCCACAACACAGGCGAUAGCCCAGAUGACACAGAUAUGAACAGGGAGUUUAGUAAGAUCCUGUCUGAUUACAUGUUGUACCUUUUAAUCAAGCAACCUAUGAUGAUGUCCAAUGUGGCCAGCAUUGGCCAGAUAAGAUUCCGGGACACAUGCGCCGAGGUAAAGAAGUUCUUCAAGGGGAGGGGAACAGAGGAAGGAGGUAAAUUGAAGGACGCUUGCCAGAAAAUCCUGGACGUGGACACGAGCGCCGAGCCAAUCCAUGUGAAGGGAGAUCGGAGCAAAUCGGUCUUGUUCGACGGAUGCAUCUUGGCCAAAGAGUUGAGAAAGCAAAAGCAAGAAAAGUGGGAGAUCAUGUGUAAAGUAUGGGUGGAGUUGUUGUCCUAUGCAGCAAGUCAUUGCAGAGCCAAGACGCACGCCCAAGUACUUAGUAAAGGCGGCGAGCUCGUGACUUUCGUUUGGCUCUUGAUGGCACACUUGGGCAUUGGAGAGCAGUUCCAAAUCAACGAAGGCCAUGCUAGAGCAAAGCUUAGGGUGGGCGGGUUAGAUAGUAGCAGCUUGUGAGGUCAAUCCGUAUCCUUGUAUAAAUCUUUAAAAUCUUUGUCUUUUUCUCUUUGGUUUCGUAGGAUUGUAUCGUUCUUGCGAAUGUGUUUGAUUAUUGUGAUUCACAGAUUUCUGUUCUUGAUCUGGAAAUUUACGCCGAAAGUGGAGUUGCAUUCAGAAAUAUUUUGGUUCCAAUGAUUAUUGUUGCUCGUUUCUUCUGAAGUCCUCUGCCUCUAUUAUCUGAGCUCACCCGGCUGCAUAUAAUUUUGAUGGGGGUCACCUGCACGCACGUUAAUUAAACUACUAAUCGAAAAUGGAUUCAACUCUUCAUUUGUUGCCUCAACGAUCAUGUUCGACUCGCCGAUAGAAGCCAAGAUGUCCGUUUACUGGUAUCAGUUAGGUGAGGGCGUUUGCUUUUGCAUAAUCUCGACUCUAACUUAAAGUAAAAAAACACAGGUGCCAAAAGCAAACAAAAAUAUUGCUUCUAAUUUGCACAUGACAAAACCAUUCACUAAAAAAACGAAUAAUAAGAAACAGAACCUUUCCACAUCCCGAGUAAAAUGGAUUGUGGUAAUGAGAAAGGCCCAUUAGAUGCUAAUGAUGAUUCAGUGUAAUAUUUGUUCAAUGUUCAUUUAUGCCUGAUAUCGAAUCAAAUAUGUACAUCCACAUAUUAAAUUUCAUUCCUUGAUUACUCCAUGCAGUUUUCGAAUAAGAGAAUAAUAAAAAAAAAUUAUUAGUAUGGUCCAUUGGAAUUAAGUCCAAUUUAUUUAUUUGAGGCACAUAACGUGAUCGAAACCUUUAAGAAAGGAGACAUAAUUUUUGGUGAAUAAGAAAAGAAAGCUGCAACUACCUUGCAGACUUUACAGUGCGGGACCAGCAAGUCAAACUAAUCGUGUUUAUUUUAUAACCAAACUAUACAUGCAUUUUCACAUAAAAUUCCUCGAAAAUAUCUAGAGAUAAAGGGUCCUACAUGAAAAGAGAUCCCAUUAUUAUACAUGCAUUUUCGCGGAAAGUUCCUCGAAAAAUAUCAAGAGAUUCGGAGGAUACUACAUAGAAAGAGAUCACAUUACUCCAAGCUUCUUAUGACUCAGUAUCCAUCACGAAGAGCCCGCAUGACAUGAUUACUCUGCCUGUCACGCUAUGAGAGAUGUGAUUCAUCAAGCUCCUGAAGAAAACAAAGAGAACUUGUCGGAAGUGGUAGACUUUUCUCGAGAUGUGUGGAAUUAUGGCGAACCUACACACACGGCACCCAUCAAUCAGUGAAGGCAUAUUAGGAUGCGCAUGAUGAAAUUUAUAUUUCUCUAUUUCUCUGUUUCUCUAUUCCCUGAAAUAUGUUUGAAAUAUAAAUCUGUUUCGUAACGUAAUUGGAUUUUUUUUAUUUAUGAAAUAAAUUUCUAUUUCAGAAAUAGAUUUGAAGAAAAAAUUAAAAGUUAAAAUUUUUAACUUCUCAAUUUCUAAAAUAAAAAUUAAAAAAUCAAUUUCUAAUCAAAAAUCAAUUUUUAUUUCGAAAAUUUUGUCAUGGACACCCUUAGAAAUCACAAGGCCAUCCUUUAAUAAAGGAGUUUGUCCGGCUAAAAUAAAAAUUAAAAAAAUCAAUUUUUAAUCAGAAAUCAAUUUUUAUUUCGAAAAUUUUGUCAUGGACAUCCUUAGAAAUCACAAGGCCAUCCUUUAAUAAAGGAGUUUAUCCGGCUAUUGAAUUGUCAAAGUUGGCUGUCCGAGGCUGCUGCUUAUUGAACUGUUGCCUGCUUUAAGUCCGACUCCGUAUUGACCGUGGCGACCUUUUCAGAGUCUGUAUUAUUAAAGCCUUGAAGCUUUUGCUUUUGUGAGGGAGUAGAGAAGGGGGUAGGCGGGCCAGGAGGGAGCGCCUCAGUGGGGUUAGGCAAAAAAUUCGAAAGAAUAAUGGGAUUAGGUGAAAACUACUGAAAAUAAUAAAAAGAAUUCAAGAGAAAAAUCUUCCACUCACAGAGAUUUAAGUUAUCAAUGACUAUUUAAAAAUUUCAGGGGUAGAUAAUAUUUAUGAUAAAUUAUGUUUGUAAAUAAGCAUUUUAUCUUUACAUUUAAAAAUAUACAAAAAAUUUUAAUAUGCUUUAUGAAGUAAGUACUUUCCAAUUACAUUAAAGGAAAGCAUAUAGAUAAAAUAUAUUGAGGAAUCAUUAACUCAUCACUUAUCUUUUAUAGAACUAAGGAAAUGAGAAGCUUAAAAUGGAAACUUCAUUUGUUUAAUUUUGAUUUUAGAAAAAGUGAAUGUGAUAGAAACUAUAGAUGGUAUUUCAAAUGAAAAGAAAAAUUAUCUUUCAAAAAUGCCGAAUUUGUUUUUUUAGUUUCCAAAAAAUUAAAUAGUUGUAACUUAAUUAUAGUAAAUGAAUUGUCUUUUUGCUUGAAGCCUGGGGAAAUUUCUAGUGCUCAUGAUAAGCACUGGGAACGAAAUCGUGUUUUUUAAUUGAAGAAGAAUAGACCAAAAAAAUGUCAAUAUUCUUUUGAGAUGUAUUACGACAACUACAGACUAUAGUAUAAUAGAAUGGAACAAAACUGCAAUUUUGUCAACCAAGAGAAUAUUAUCUAAUAUCAUAAAUAUAUGACUAUAAAAAUAUCUUUACCGAAUCAAUUCAUAUCUUCAGAUAAUAUUUUUCUCUCCACACAUAUGUAUGUAUGUAUGUAUGUAUGUAUGUAUGUAUGCUUGUGCUCUUAUAUCUCACUAUAUGAUUUUACAGACCCAAAAAAAUAAAAAUGUAAAAAAAGUUGCGAUAGACUUUUCUUAGGAUCUAUAGGAUUACGACAAACCUAGUCUUGAAGACACCGGCAACCGGGAUUCUAUUUUGACGAAGACCAAGACCAAGGAGCACCUCGCAAUGAGUGUAGGAAUCUGCUUUAGGAAAUCACGAGGUCGUUGCUUUAAUAAAUUUGUUUGGGAUAUGUUCAGUAGAAGUCCUAAAACUUGUGCAGAAAGUGCAAUUGAGUCCUAAAACUUACAAAGAGUUCAAUCAAGUCCUAAAACUUAUCCAGAAAGUGCAAUUGAGUCCUAAAACUUACAAAGAGUUCAAUCAAGUCCUAAAACUUGUCCAGAAAGUGCAAUUAAGUCCUAAAGUUAACACCGUUAAGAAAGUUAACGGAAAUUGCUGACGUGGCGCUGACGUCAAAACCCCAAAUGAUUUUUUUCAUGAUUCAAUUUGUGCUUUUUUUAAUCUUCUGUUGAUUCAUUUUUUCCAAGCUUGGAAGAUGUAAUCACUAAAGGUAUAUCCAAAUUUAUUUUAAAAACCAAAAAUCGGAAUUAAUUUAGAAAAAAAAAUUGUUCCUCAAAACAUUCUUCUGGGGUAUUGGACUUCCGGAGCCUACCUCCAACCCCGGGGCUGGCACCCAUCUUCACUCCUAGCUUGGGUGACCGAGUUAUGGGGCAACUAAACUAUAUUAACUGCUCUCCACUUGAUGCAUUGGCAGGAUGGGCAAAAGUUGUUUUGAGUGAUAAUCGAAGAUGGGUUGAGUGUAUGAGGGAUGAAUGUUGAUAGAUAGUUACAAAAUGAGGGAUAAGAUAUGAUUGGAACCAAGUCGUACCGGACGUAUCACCGACCAGAGAUCAGGAUCGGGAUAGACGAAGCUCACCACCAAGGCCUAUAGAAAAUCACCGGCUUAGGAUGCAGGACUUCGGGAUUGAAGAAGCUCAUCACCAAACCAUAUUGGAAAACCACUAGCUGAGGAUACAAUGUUUCUUUGGGUCACCAUUGAGGAAGAAUCCAUCUUCCAAGGAUACAUAAAUCAGGGAGUAAUCCUCUCUCCUAAAGUAUUCACUCUCACCAAGGCAAAUCUCAAUGUGUAAUUACUAAAAAUUCACCGUCUUAUAUCUGAGAAUGUUCCCUCUUUAUAUAGNNNNNNNNNNNNNNNNNNNNNNNNNNNNNNNNNNNNNNNNNNNNNNNNNNNNNNNNNNNNNNNNNNNNNNNNNNNNNNNNNNNNNNNNNNNNNNNNNNNNAUAAGAUAUGUACACUCCAGAAACAGAAUAAAAAAGAAUUAUUUCUAAUCAGAAUCUACUUUUGAGAACAUAAUCGUUACCAAACGCACCCUAAGCCUCGGCGACAUCCCUAGGUACUAAGUUCAUUGUAGCUAUUCCCCAAAAGGAUGAGUCCGUCACAACAGCCCGACCACUGUGCAAGUUUGUACAAGAACAGAGGCUCAUAUGAAACAACGCAAUGAUUGCACAGAACUGAGAUAACAACAUGUGAAGAGGCUCCUCUUAUGAUCUCAGGAUGUUAUAAUUGUGAAUCUGUGCCUCAUUAGCAUAUGGUUUAAGAACUCAUAUAUAGCCCGCUGAAAGAAGAAACCUUUUUUCUUUUUCUUUUUUGUAUGAGUGUCGUUAAUCCGAUAUGCACAGAGUAAGUAGACAAUAUUUUAUCAUAAAAAAACAGUAAGAAAAAAAUUCCACGCGUGAUGUCCAGUUCAUGAACUAAUCCAUCCAAAUCUGCAGCUUUGACAAGUUUUGCAGGUUCUUUCACACCAAUGUUGCAUACGCUUAAUCAAGACUUCUCUAAUUGGGAUAUAACAUGCUAAUAGUCCAUUGCCAUGUUGAAGUUCAUUAGAAACAUGACCUUAUCUUAGGCCCCCGAGAAAUCUUUAGUUUAGCAGAUUAGCAUUUGGAGACAAAAGCAAACUAUUGCAGAUUAGCAUUAUAGACAAAAGCAAACUCAAGCCCUACAAGGAAAGCCUUCCCCUGUUUCAGUCCUGCCUUUUGCUCAUCUGGGAGAGUGACAAUGAUGAGCUCCGGGCCAAAACCUUUGCCGAAGAAAAGCUUCCGAUGGCUAAAAGAAAUGGAAUGAAACAAAAGAGCUCUCUGGGUUUUAUAUGUAGUAAAAUCAAGCGUGAUGNNNNNNNNNNNNNNNNNNNNNNNNNNNNNNNNNNNNNNNNNNNNNNNNNNNNNNNNNNNNNNNNNNNNNNNNNNNNNNNNNNNNNNNNNNNNNNNNNNNNNNNNNNNNNNNNNNNNNNNNNNNNNNNNNNNNNNNNNNNNNNNNNNNNNNNNNNNNNNNNNNNNNNNNNNNNNNNNNNNNNNNNNNNNNNNNNNNNNNNNNNNNNNNNNNNNNNNNNNNNNNNNNNNNNNNNNNNNNNNNNNNNNNNNNNNNNNNNNNNNNNNNNNNNNNNNNNNNNNNNNNNNNNNNNNNNNNNNNNNNNNNNNNNNNNNNNNNNNNNNNNNNNNNNNNNNNNNNNNNNNNNNNNNNNNNNNNNNNNNNNNNNNNNNNNNNNNNNNNNNNNNNNNNNNNNNNNNNNNNNNNNNNNNNNNNNNNNNNNNNNNNNNNNNNNNNNNNNNNNNNNNNNNNNNNNNNNNNNNNNNNNNNNNNNNNNNNNNNNNNNNNNNNNNNNNNNNNNNNNNNNNNNNNNNNNNNNNNNNNNNNNNNNNNNNNNNNNNNNNNNNNNNNNNNNNNNNNNNNNNNNNNNNNNNNNNNNNNNNNNNNNNNNNNNNNNNNNNNNNNNNNNNNNNNNNNNNNNNNNNNNNNNNNNNNNNNNNNNNNNNNNNNNNNNNNNNNNNNNNNNNNNNNNNNNNNNNNNNNNNNNNNNNNNNNNNNNNNNNNNNNNNNNNNNNNNNNNNNNNNNNNNNNNNNNNNNNNNNNNNNNNNNNNNUGCAUCAAAUGGGAAAUAGUCAUUCUCCCCACCAUGCUGUCUGGAGGAACCCAUUCUUCUCGUGCUCACAUAAUUUCCUGGCCGUCUCAGCAUCGUCUGCAAAUGACGCCUUUUCUUUCAACUCUUGAAUAUAAACUCCCAAAGACCCUUGAUGAAGGCAUUCUUGGACACAUAUCUGCUUUCAUCGAGUAUGUCUGCUAUGCCCAAUUUCUUAGAGAUAAAACCAAAGAUAGUUCUGAAACGUGAGCAACCCCACCAAAGAUGCUGCCCGAACAUAAGCAACUAGAAAUCGAUUCACCGAGGGAGCUCAGAUAGCACAUUACCAUUCCCAUGAUGUAGCAUGGAAAACUUACAAUUUCACGGAAACAGCUGCUGAAGCACCCCCGCGGUUUGGCGAUUCGUGUCAGACAAUCUUUCAGACAAUAAGAUAACAGGUUGUAAGCCGAGAUUGUCUCAGACCACCUUCGGAACAGUACUGGUGUAUUGUACACAUCAUAAUCGCCAUUGCCUGUAUGACAUUUAGUCACAACCAAAUGCUUCCUCUUAUCCAUUAUAGAGAGGAUGUUAGAAGUAUGCCCUAAAUUAACUAAUUAAUAUAUAUAUAUAUAUAUAUUAAAGUGUGCAUGCACGAUUUGCACAAAAUCGUGCUAGAUGGUCAGCGGUUGCUGACCAUCAUGCACGAAAUUGUGCACGAACGGUCAGCGGUUGCUGACCGUUUAUGCACAAUCGUGCAUAAUCGUGAGGAUCAGCAACGGUUGCUAAUCCCACGAUCAGCAACCGUUGCUGAACCGUGAAGUGCUCGUCCAAGAAAUGCCUUAAAAGGGUUUAAAAAAUUGGUUCAAAAAGAAGAAGAGCUCAUUGUUGAAAAAUAGAGAAAAGUGUCACUGUGUUUUGGUUUUGUUCGAGAGAAACACAAGCGAGAAAUCAGAAGAUGCUUUGCUAAAAUAGAGAGCAAAGUGUGUGCGUGUUCUUGUGUCUUUGAGACGUAAGAAAGAAGAGUAUUAUCUCAUUCGGGCUGUGACUAUUAUACAUCAAGAAUACGACGGAUUAUUUCCACAUGAUUGCUAGCACGAUCGAAGUGGUGAAUAUCCGAAAGUUCUCUCUUCUGUUCGACGUUCGUUGCCGGUGUGUCUGAACUAGAGGUCCGACGCUUGUGGGACUCGAAUUGUAGAACAUCCGAACCGACUCGUUUCAAAGCGCGCUUCGAGAGGUAUUUCGUUUAACUCUCUUUUAUGUUUAGAUUUUUGAUUAAAACGCACGAACAACGCCUUAGGAGAAUCAUGUGUAAAAGAUAUCUUUGUUUCCGCUGCAUACUUUAUGUUAAUUUUUCUUAUACACGAUUCAUGAAACUCCAACAGAGGAAUCAUGCACCAAAGAGUUUAUCAAACAGGACUGCCAUUUUGGACCUUUUCUUGAUGUUUUUUAUCCUAGCAACAGUCCAAUCAGAGAAAACAGCCAUAAAAAGAGCUAUUGCAUCAAGAGCAAUCGCCCCAUAGAGCAAGCAGUAGGUAAUUCUAACAUCAACCCGGUGGAAUCUAUUCUUCUUUAAGCAGGUGAACAACACGAGACUUACCGCAAUAUUUGCCAAUGCAAAGAAGCGAAAAAUGUACCCGACCAUCGAAUGUACCACCUGGACUUUUGUGUAGAGGACAUCAUACAUGAAGUUGAGUUCAACCGCUAUGACUUUGAAAGCUUCCUCUGCAUUUCUAUGCUGGAAAAACUGCCGGCUCUCAUGCCGCUCGCAAAAGCUGAAGAUGAGAUCGACAAUUAGACCCUUGAAGAUUUCAAAGAAGUGAUAGGCAUGCCUCACGACAUCGCUCUCGGAUCAAAUAUUUUCUUCCACGCCCUCAUACAUCAUGGUCUUAGAUUCUCUGUCAGGCUCUCCAGUGAUCUUGGUGAUCUUGAUGGUGGCCGGAAGCUUGGCCUCCUUCCUCGAUGAGUACUCAUCCAUAAGCUUUGCAUAGUUGGACCCGGAUUUGGGUCUUUGAGCAUGGAUUCCUUGAAAGUCUUCAGACUUGCAAGAUACAACGCUCUAGUCCUCUCUGCAUAUUUGAUUAAACCAGUAAGAAGCAUCAGUAUGGUUGGUACUAACAGCUUGUUCUGGGGCAACGAUGUCUGGAGGAACACAUAGGCUGCGGCAAAAACUUGGAAAAGAAGGCCGAGCAAGUGCCGUAGCCAGAGGGCAUUAUCUUCGAGGGCAAAGGCUGUGAUUGUGUCCAGACCUCCAAAAUGCACCAAAAGGAAAGAUGCCCAAAAUGCCAAGAAAUCUCCAUUGUCCGCCGAAGUGGAGUCAUUACCUUGACUGUUGGAAAUGAGUCCUAUUGCGAAUGCAGCGGUCCAAUCGGCAAGCAAGUAAGCCGACCAAACGACGAAUAUCAUGAGCAUGUUGGCCGUUCUCUUUUGGGACGGCGCAAAGAAGAUGAGGAUGGUCUGAAGAGAGGGUCAGGAUGAUGAAGCCCCUGAGGUUCCAUGUAUUCCAAACCUUCCUGAUGCUCGCCGGAAUGGGAUUAAAAGCCAUGUUUCUUCUUCUGGUUGCUUGAAGUCGAACCUUUCUAGUUACAACCUCCCUCAAGCAAAUCAAGUUUCACUUGUCUUCGGAAGAAAAAUUGGGGG
rnacentral:lncRNA from 1 species